UGCUGCCGAAAGGCGGCUCCCCUUGAAUGUGUCGGUUGGGUUUCCUUAGGCUUUUGCGUCGAAAUGGGGCGUUGUAUCAUCCUCGCUCUCGCUAGACUGCGGCUUAGGUAUUGUUCCCUUCCUAGACUUAGCCUCUGGAGUGGCGGUCAAACAAAUCGAAUUCUGACCUCAAAUCAGGUAGGACUACCCGCUGAACUUAA
rnacentral:misc_RNA from 1 species